UGGGGAAUAUUGCACAAUGGGGGAAACCCUGAUGCAGCGACGCCGCGUGAGUGAAGAAGUAAUUCGUUAUGUAAAGCUCUAUCAGCAGGGAAGAAAAUGACGGUACCUGAGUAAGAAGCCCCGGCUAACUACGUGCCAGCAGCCGCGGUAAUACGUAGGGGGCAAGCGUUAUCCGGAUUUACUGGGUGUAAAGGGAGCGUAGACGGCAGUGCAAGUCUGGAGUGAAAGGCGGGGGCUCAACCCCCGGACUGCUCUGGAAACUGUACGGCUGGAGUGCAGGAGAGGUAAGUGGAAUUCCUAGUG
rnacentral:rRNA from 1 species